rnacentral:rRNA from 1 species
GGGCCUCUUGCCAUCAGAUGUGCCCAGAUGGGAUUAGCUAGUAGGUGGGGUAAUGGCUCACCUAGGCGACGAUCCCUAGCUGGUCUGAGAGGAUGACCAGCCACACUGGAACUGAGACACGGUCCAGACUCCUACGGGAGGCAGCAGUGGGGAAUAUUGCACAAUGGGCGCAAGCCUGAUGCAGCCAUGCCGCGUGUAUGAAGAAGGCCUUCGGGUUGUAAAGUACUUUCAGCGAGGAGGAAGGCAUUGUGGUUAAUAACCACAGUGAUUGACGUUACUCGCAGAAGAAGCACCGGCUAACUCCGUGCCAGCAGCCGCGGUAAUACGGAGGGUGCAAGCGUUAAUCGGAAUUACUGGGCGUAAAGCGCACGCAGGCGGUCUGUCAAGUCGGAUGUGAAAUCCCCGGGCUCAACCUGGGAACUGCAUUCGAAACUGGCAGGCUAGAGUCUUGUAGAGGGGGGUAGAAUUCCAGGUGUAGCGGUGAAAUGCGUAGAG